rnacentral:misc_RNA from 1 species
AACGCACAUUGCGCUUUCUGGUAUUCCAGAGAGCAUGCCCGUUUCAGCAUCAAUAAAUAUCUCGCUUCCCCACCGGUCUGGUAAAAAGGAUCGGAACUGUUGGUGGCGGAUUUGGACGUGGAUGGAGAACCGGCACUGUAUUGUGUUGAUUUUCCAUCGUCCCAAAGGAAAACAUGUAUGCACCGUUUCCUACUUACAGUUGGGUUGGUUGCCUUUUCUGUGCAACAGAUUGAUUUCUUUCACAGUGGGUGGCGUACCUCAACCGGGAAAUUCAUGGUGGAGAAAGUACAUUUUUCUUUCAAAAGGAGUGCAGCGUCAGCCGACGUUGCGGCCCCUAAAUCAUUUGGUCUGAAAUCGGGCAAGAAAACCCGCUGAACUUAA